rnacentral:tRNA from 1 species
GGGGCGGUAGUCUAAUGGUAGGACAUCUGACUUUCUAUCAGAGUGUCCCAGUUCGAUCCUGGGUCGCCCUA